rnacentral:rRNA from 1 species
GUCGAGCGGUAGAGAGAAGCUUGCUUCUCUUGAGAGCGGCGGACGGGUGAGUAAUGCCUAGGAAUCUGCCUGGUAGUGGGGGAUAACGUCCGGAAACGGACGCUAAUACCGCAUACGUCCUACGGGAGAAAGCAGGGGACCUUCGGGCCUUGCGCUAUCAGAUGAGCCUAGGUCGGAUUAGCUAGUUGGUGGGGUAAUGGCUCACCAAGGCGACGAUCCGUAACUGGUCUGAGAGGAUGAUCAGUCACACUGGAACUGAGACACGGUCCAGACUCCUACGGGAGGCAGCAGUGGGGAAUAUUGGACAAUGGGCGAAAGCCUGAUCCAGCCAUGCCGCGUGUGUGAAGAAGGUCUUCGGAUUGUAAAGCACUUUAAGUUGGGAGGAAGGGCAGUUGCCUAAUACGUAACUGUUUUGACGUUACCGACAGAAUAAGCACCGGCUAACUCUGUGCCAGCAGCCGCGGUAAUACAGAGGGUGCAAGCGUUAAUCGGAAUUACUGGGCGUAAAGCGCGCGUAGGUGGUUUGUUAAGUUGGAUGUGAAAUCCCCGGGCUCAACCUGGGAACUGCAUUCAAAACUGACUGACUAGAGUAUGGUAGAGGGUGGUGGAAUUUCCUGUGUAGCGGUGAAAUGCGUAGAUUUAGGAAGGAACACCAGUGGCGAAGGCGACCACCUGGACUAAUACUGACACUGAGGUGCGAAAGCGUGGGGAGCAAACAGGAUUAGAUACCCUGGUAGUCCACGCCGUAAACGAUGUCAACUAGCCGUUGGAAGCCUUGAGCUUUUAGUGGCGCAGCUAACGCAUUAAGUUGACCGCCUGGGGAGUACGGCCGCAAGGUUAAAACUCAAAUGAAUUGAC